ACGGGUGAGUAACACGUGAGUAACCUGCCCCUGACUCUGGGAUAAGCGUUGGAAACGACGUCUAAUACUGGAUAUGAUCGCUGGCCGCAUGGUCUGGUGGUGGAAAGAUUUUUUGGUUGGGGAUGGACUCGCGGCCUAUCAGCUUGUUGGUGAGGUAAUGGCUCACCAAGGCGACGACGGGUAGCCGGCCUGAGAGGGUGACCGGCCACACUGGGACUGAGACACGGCCCAGACUCCUACGGGAGGCAGCAGUGGGGAAUAUUGCACAAUGGGCGAAAGCCUGAUGCAGCAACGCCGCGUGAGGGAUGACGGCCUUCGGGUUGUAAACCUCUUUUAGUAGGGAAGAAGCGAAAGUGACGGUACCUGCAGAAAAAGCACCGGCUAACUACGUGCCAGCAGCCGCGGUAAUACGUAGGGUGCAAGCGUUGUCCGGAAUUAUUGGGCGUAAAGAGCUCGUAGGCGGUUUGUCGCGUCUGCUGUGAAAUCCCGAGGCUCAACCUCGGGCUUGCAGUGGGUACGGGCAGACUAGAGUGCGGUAGGGGAGAUUGGAAUUCCUGGUGUAGCGGUGGAAUGCGCAGA
rnacentral:rRNA from 1 species